rnacentral:tRNA from 1 species
GCCGGCGCUUGCUCCGUGGAUGCUUUAUUGGGUGAAAUGCAUAGAUGAUUGUGAUGGGUUCGAGUCCCAUCGCCGGCUCCA